CUGGUGAAGAUGUUGCUAAGGGAGCCAUGUUGUGACGACUUCCUGGAGGCGAAGUUUCAGAAACAGCAGGAGUAUUUAAAGAGACAUAGGCCCAAUUUCAAAGCAUUAAAUUACUAAGUAAAAUUUAUUUUAAGUCAUAUUUGAUUUUAUAUAUAUAUAUAUAU